GUUUGUUAGGAAUAUUAGUUCGUGCGAAGGGUUACAAUAUGACAAGGGCGGUUAAUUCCCUUGGAAUUAUCAUGAUUUCUAAUAAAUUCCGCGGUGAAAUAUGCACCUCUAGGUGCAGCUUUGGAAAUUGUUGUCCAAUGCCAACAACAACAGAAUGUGUUUGCUGUCAAGAAAUUGAAAAAGUGAAAUAUCUCUUCAGCAAUGAAUAUGAUGAAGGAGGUACAUGCAUUAAAUGCAUAACUGAGCAGCCGGGAUUUAGUCCUGCAUGCCUAAAUGUCUAUGUUCUGCAGAUUGCCUAUUUCCAAUAUAAACAGUAGUACAGAGAAGAAAUUCCAGAUACUUCUCAGAUGUACAGAUAUGUUGCUUACAGACAACUAGCACGGUGGGAUUGGGGCUAUUUGGGACAGAAAGUGAGAGUAGUGUUACCUUCCUGUGCUGUGAACUGUAUAAGAAACACUUUUCCUAGUGACUCUGGAUCUUAUACAGGAUUCAAACCUAAAAAAUUAUGUGUGUAAAUAGCUUUUACACUAGAUUAUGUCUUUAACAUAUGAAUAAAAUGUCUAUGUCAGAUA